AUCCAGAUGAUGAGUCCCAACUAGGACGAAACGCGCGUCAAACUGGAU
rnacentral:hammerhead_ribozyme from 1 species